GCAGAGAGACCUGCUCAUAUCUCUAGUUCAGUGGGUAAUCACUGAGAAUCAAAGGUGGGCCUGGCUUCCCUUCCUUUCAGACAGACUUCCAUCAGUCUAGAGCCACCAUCAUCUAACCAAAACAGAUGGAGAUUGUUCAUGCUGUAUCGUCCUCUUCACUUUUGAUGACAAGAAGAAG